AGUCAAGAAUCUUUCGCAAUGGCCGAAAGGCUGACGGAGCAAUACCGCGUGGAGGAAGACACCCCUCGGGGCGUAAACUUCUUUUCUAAAGGAUGAAUUCGUGACGUUACUUUAGGAAUAAGCAACUGCUAACUUCGUGCCAGCAGCAGCGGUAAUACGAAGGUUGCAAGCGUUGUCCGGAAUUAUUGGGCGUAAAGCGUCUGUAGGUGGUUUAUCAAGUUUCAAAUUAAAACUCUAAGCUCAACUUAGAGUUAGUUUGAAAAACUGAUAAACUAGAGAAUGGGAGAGGUAAGCGGAAUGGCUGGUGUAGUAGUAAUAUGCAUUGAUAUCAGCUAGAACACCAAAUGCAAAGGCAGCUUACUAGAACAUUUCUGACACUGAGAGACGAAAGCGUGGGUAGCGAAUGGGAUUAGAUACCCCAGUAGUCCACGCCGUAAACGAUGGGUACUAAGUAUUAGGAGUAUCGAUCCUUCUAGUGCUGUCGAGCUAAGUUAACACCUUAAGUACCCCGCCUGGGGAGUACGGUCGCAAGACUAAAACUCAAAGGAAUUGACGGGAACCCGCACAAGCGGUGGAGCAUGUGGUUUAAUUCGAUAAUAAGCGGAAAACCUUACCAAGGCUUGAAAUCUCCGGGAUCUCUUAGAAACAAGAGAGUGCCGCAAGGAACCGGAUGACAGGUGCUGCAUGGUUGUCGUCAGCUCGUGUCGUGAGAUGUCGGGUUAAGUCCUUUAACGAGCGCAACCCUCAUCCUAAUUUACAAUUCAUUAGGAAACUGCCCAGGAUAACUGGGAGGAAGGUGAGGAUGACGUCAAAUCAGCAUGGCUCUUACGCCUUGGGCCACACACGUGCUACAAUGGCCAGUACAAUGGGUCGCUAAGUCGCGAGAUGGAGCUAAUCCCAUCAAAGCUGGUCUCAGUUCGGAUUGGAGUCUGCAAUUCGACUCCAUGAAGUUGGAAUCGCUAGUAACCGCGUAUCAGCUAUGGCGCGGUGAAUACGUUCUCGGGUUUUGUACACACCGCCCGUCACACCAAUAGAGUUGGUAAUACCCGAAAGUUCUACACUAAAGUAGGGAUGAAGGUAGGAUCAGCGAUAAGGGUG
rnacentral:rRNA from 1 species